UACUUUUGAGAAUCAGUAAAUCCACUUACUUAUUAAUCCACUUUAAGAAAUAUGCAUUCACUUAGUGUGUGUUCACAUAUGCCGCAGCAUGCAAGUAGAGGUUAGAGGACAGAAAUCAGGAGGUAUGUCUCUCCUUCUACCAUGUGGGUCUAUGGAUUUGAACUCAUGUCCUUAGGUUUGGCAGCAAGCUCUUUAACUCACUGAGCCCACCAGUCCCUCUCUUUCACUUUUCCCCUUUUUCUUUCCUUCUCUCUCUCUCUCUCUCUCUCUCUCUCUCUCUCUCUCUCUCUCUAGGGGUUAGGGUUUUUUUGUUUGUUUUUGUUUGAGACAGGGUCUCUCUAUUUAGAGAUCUGCAACUCACUAUGUAGACCAGGCUAGCAUGGAACUCAUAAGAGAUCCACCUGCCUCUGCCUCCUCAGUGCUGGGAUUAAAGGUAAAGGUGUGUGCCAUCUUGCCUGGCAUUUUUCCUUCUUCAUUUUCUAGGCUGUCCCCAAAUUUGCACGAGCUGUCCUCCCUCUACACACACCUGGUUUAACCACUAUCUUGCUAUCAUUGUGCCCAUUGUCCUUAUUGUCUCCUCUUUUGGGGGUUCGGAGGAGCAGAACACAGAGCCUUGUACAUCUCAGCCAAUUAUUCUAUUACUGAGCUCUAUGCCCAGCCCCAUCCUUUACCCUUUGUCUUUGGUGACAGGGCCAUGUAUUGUGGCAUAGGCUAGCCUUUAACCUGGCACCUCUUGUUCCACCUUCACCAAGUAGUAGGUAUAAUUUCAGCCAUUUUUUUCUUGAGGUAAGUAUGGAACUAGGGUCUUGUCAGGCUAGGCAAGCCAAACUGAGUCAUGUCCCCAGUCCCUCUGAAGGACCUUGGCUUAUUCAUUUGCUAACUUGUAGCUUAUUUUGUUCCCCCAACUCGAAAGAGAAUGCAGGUUUUAAGAGAGCAUUGGGGUGUCCCGUUCCUAAAAAAGGCCCCUAUUGUCUGGUUAGAAAAUCCUGGGCCUUGGCCUCCCUAGUAGCUAGGACAGGCAGUGCCCCUUCCCACCCCCACCCCCAACCCAUGCUUUCUUUUUUUCUUUUCUUUUUUUUUCCGGAGCUGGGGACCGAACCCAGGGCCUUGCGCUUGCUAGGCAAGCGCUCUACCAC
rnacentral:lncRNA from 1 species